CUGAUCCAGCCAUGCCGCGUGUGUGAAGAAGGCUUUCGGGUUGUAAAGCACUUUCAGUGAGGAGGAAAACCUUACGACUAAUACUCGUGAGGCUUGACGUUACUCACAGAAGAAGCACCGGCUAACUCCGUGCCAGCAGCCGCGGUAAU
rnacentral:rRNA from 1 species